GAAAUGCGAUACGUAAUGCGAAUUGCAGAACUCAGUGAAUCAUCAAAUCUUUGAACGCAAAUGGCGCUCCCGGGAUAGGCCUGGGAGCACGCCUCUUUGAGUGUCGAUUCAAUCAAACUCAGCGACCUGCGCGAAUUCAUUUUUGUAGUGGGCGCAGCUGAAUAUUGAGUGUCUCACGUGAGUGAGUCACUUUAAGCGGAGCGAGUCUCCUUUCUUCUAGCACCGGUGAAAGCUUCGGCUUUUGCCUAGCCUAGGAUGAGUUUUUGCCACUGCUUAAACUCGUAG
rnacentral:misc_RNA from 1 species